rnacentral:rRNA from 1 species
CACGUAGGGCGCAAGCGUUGUCCGGAAUUAUUGGGCGUAAAGAGCUCGUAGGCGGACUGUCACGUCUGCUGUGAAAAGCUAGGGCUUAACCCUGGCCUUGCAGUGGAUACGGGCAGACUAGAGGUAGGUAGGGGAGAAUGGAAUUCCCGGUGUAGCGGUGAAAUGCGCAGAUAUCGGGAGGAACACCGGUGGCGAAGGCGGUUCUCUGGACAGUUCCUGACACUGAGACACGAAGGCCAGGGGAGCAAACGGG